GCUCUGGUUGAUUAAAUGGUAAAUCGCUCACCAUACUUGGUGGUUGGUAGAAAAAGCAGAGGUGAGAGACGGAGGUUCGAAUCCUCCCGAGAGCA